rnacentral:rRNA from 1 species
AGUGAACGCUGGCGGUAGGCCUAACACAUGCAAGUCGAACGGCAGCACAGUAAGAGCUUGCUCUUACGGGUGGCGAGUGGCGGACGGGUGAGGAAUACAUCGGAAUCUACUUUUUCGUGGGGGAUAACGUAGGGAAACUUACGCUAAUACCGCAUACGACCUACGGGUGAAAGCAGGGGAUCUUCGGACCUUGCGCGAUUGAAUGAGCCGAUGUCGGAUUAGCUAGUUGGCGGGGGAAAGGCCCACCAAGGCGACGAUCCGUAGCUGGUCUGAGAGGAUGGUCCGCCACACUGGACCUGAGACACGGUCCAGACUCCUACGGAGGCAGCAGUGGGGAAUAUUGGACAAAGGGCGCAAGCCUGAUCCAGCCAUACCGCGUGGGUGAAGAAGGCCUUCGGGUUGUAAAGCCCUUUUGUUGGGAAAGAAAAGCAGCAGGUUAAUACCCCGCUGUUCUGACGGUACCCAAAGAAUAAGCACCGGCUAACUUCGUG